rnacentral:rRNA from 1 species
UGACCUCAAAUCAGGUAGGACUACCCGCUGAACUUAAGCAUAUCAAUAAGCGGAGGAAAAGAAACUAACAAGGAUUCCCCUAGUAACUGCGAGUGAAGCGGGAAAAGCUCAAAUUUAAAAUCUGGCGG